CCCAAUUAAGUGUCCCACACCCAUCAGAACCUUCAAGAGAUAACAGGGCCACUUCAUUCAGUUUUGGAACAAUGGAUCCAGAGAGACGUGAAGGAAGAGGAUGAGGAAACCGGACAGGAGAACGAAGAGGAAGUGCAAGGAGGAAAUCAGAGGUGUUGAAUCAUCCUGACACAACUUAACAGGUUUCCUAAAACAGGCCAACGCCAUCUUCACCCAGACAGGCAGCUGCUGCGCUGUCGGCUUCUGAUAAUUGGCUGACAACUGCGGAAAGAAAAGUCGACUGACACAAGUUACAGGAGUGAAUUUCCCCAGAGCACAUGGAGCUAACGAGGCAGCCGCCUCCUGCUGUUUGUGACAAAUAACUCAACACACAUACAGCUGAGAGCAUCUACUGCCUUUAAACAGGAGACACAAAUAUCAGCUCCUUAACUGCGAUAAAAGAGUAUUUAUGGCAUACUCAUGGAAUCAUGGAGGAGGUCAUUUCAGACGCUAAUCAGAGUAAGUAGCAUCCAAACAGAGAUGAACAUGAGGGGGGAGCUGGGAGGAGCCAGAGGAGAGGAGGCAACAAUCACAACACAUAGGAGAGUGUUGUGGUGGCAGCCCGGCUGACGGUUCACUCACCUCCGUCGAGUCAGCUGAGCUCGCCCACCUGCCCUCUCCCCUCGGACUUCCCCCACACGGUUCUCCCUCGUGCCUCGCCAGUCAGCCUGCCACCACACUCCUCCACCAAAAUCAGUUUCCUGACCAAUUCCUGGUUAGUUACGCACAAAAUUUGACCCACUGUGUCUAAACUCUGCACACAAGCCAAAUAAGAAACAACACCUGGAGAUAAACUCAUUUCUACUUCAAAUUUCUGCAAUCAAAACCUAGCACUUCUUUUUUCAAAAGGGCAUUUUUGGAUCAAUGGAAACAUGCAUCAUGUUUCUUAAACAUUCACAGCAGCAACAACACAGAGCAUUAUUCAACACAAAUGUUUAGUGCUUUGUAGACUGUUUUUU